UGGAAACAGCAGGCAUGGCACAGGCCUCUGGGGAAAGCUGCUUUUCACUGGAGCAGCAAGAGAUAGACCUUCCGAGCAGUAGCUUCAUCAUCCUUUUUCACAACCAAGUGUCUACUUCUACAGUGCUGGUGUGUAUCUCCGAGUGCAUUCACUUGAUAAGUGUAAAUAUGUCACCAAUGAAGAUGUUGAGUGUGAUGGGAUGCAGUGCUAACCCCUGGGAAAAACUGUCUAGCUACAGGUCUCCAGCUGGAUUCCAUAUAGCUGAUUACAACCCUAUAAGCUCAGCCAAUCAGGCAUCUUGUUUCAUUUUGUCAGUUUGAAUGGGGCAGGAUUUUCUUCAUCCUAUAGCACCAAAUGGCUUCAGUGAACAGUAGUACAAUGGUUUGGACAUAGUGGCUCGUACAACUUGCCUGCAAUGAGGAAAGCUGCUUUCCUCAACCUGUUGCUUCUCUGCAGAGCAAGUCUUGUGGGUGAAGUGGCAAUUGGUGGUUGUCUUGGCCAUGAAGCUCUAUGUAUAAAUAUAGUAUGGAGAGACUUACUUGGCGUGCUUGAUUUUGGGGAAACCAGUAAGCUCUCAGGCAUAUGCAAAUCUGAAAUAAAUAAGCUAUAUCUCUCCAGCAGUGCUCAGUCUUUCUGAUACACGGUGAAAUACUUGGUUGCCAGUAGGUAAG
rnacentral:lncRNA from 1 species